UAAAGAUGGCAGAUAAAGUGCAUUAGAUUUAAGCUCUAAAAAUAAAAUUUAUUUUUUUCUUUAUA
rnacentral:tRNA from 1 species